rnacentral:rRNA from 1 species
UACGGGAGGCAGCAGUGGGGAAUAUUGCACAAUGGGCGCAAGCCUGAUGCAGCCAUGCCGCGUGUAUGAAAAAGGCCUUCGGGUUGUAAAGUACUUUCAGUCGUGAGGAAGGUGUUAAGGUUAAUAACCUUAGCAAUUGACGUUAGCGACAGAAGAAGCACCGGCUAACUCCGUGCCAGCAGCCGCGGUAAUACGGAGGGUGCGAGCGUUAAUCGGAAUUACUGGGCGUAAAGGGCACGCAGGCGGUUAAUUAAGUUGGAUGUGAAUCCCCGGGCUUAACCUGGGAAUGGCAUUCAAGACUGGUUAGCUAGAGUCUUGUAGAGGGGGUAGAAUUCCGAUGUGUAGCGGUGAAAUGCGUAGAGAUGUGGAGGAAUACCGGUGGCGAAGGCGGCCCCUGGACAAAGACUGACGCUCGAUGUGCGAAAGCGUGGGGAGCAAACGAGGGAUUAGAUAC